AUGGCGGUAGUCGGAGCAUGCGACGUGGGGAUGUUGCAAUCAUGGUGUUCGUGCACUGGAACCGGCCGGUCUAAGAGAGAAAAUGGUGGCCAUGCUGCAAUCCCGGCGGUCGUGAGGCGGGGGAAGGCAAGCGACAGUGCCCUGGUGUUGUCGGAUAUGAAUAGUGUCAACGUUGCUUUUGUAAUUCCAGCACGGGGAGUACAAAGUACCCCAAGGCUGGGAGCACCGAUACUUUCCCUUGGUUCCCUGGCUGCUUCAUAUGCGCGUCUCUCGGCCAAACACAUCGGCAAAAGAUUCAUGGUAGGAAGUACGGGGCCAAGCAAGCACGUCGUGAUUGAGCUCGCGGCACUCCUCGACGCGGCAGGCCGUCUUGCCAUCACACGGGUAGCAAGGGAAGCUGGCGGAGGCAGACGGCUGGUGGAGUCAGAUAUGCGGCGUGGGGUUGUGAAGAAAUUGCUCCAGUGCACGAUGACAAUAAUAGACUUCAUAGACGUGAUUGAUGACAUCAUUGACUUGAGCAGCGACGAGGAGAAUGUUGAACAGGAUGAAAUCCCGACUCAGCCCCUGGAGAUGAUGCUUGAUACGCAGGAGGUGUUUGUCGAAGCUGGUGAUGGAAGGCAAGAGGCUGCCGAGUCCGGAAAUACUAUCCAAGCUACCACAUUGUCCAUGUUUAAGGAGAAAGGGCCUCUUGAUACAACUGCAAACCAGAAUUGCACUUCAAUGACAGUACCACUCCCAAUUAACAGUGGCACCAUGAUAGAGAUAAAAAGUUGUUACAUCGCUGCAGGCCCUGCUUCAGCUGCUCCGGAGGCUCAUCCCUCAUCACAGCCGGACCAGACUGAAGAAGGGUCCUCUACUCAGUCCAGAGAUACUACGACAGGUACCACUGCAACACCGUCCUUGGUUGUAGAGGAAGGACCUCUUGAUACAACUGCAACAAAGAAUUUUCCUCCAACAUCAGUGCCAUUCCGAAGUCCCACUUUCACGACUCCGAAGGGUCUGACAUAUGAAGGAGAUAAUGGAAGGCUGCUGAGGAUGUAUGAGAGACGUCCUAGGAAAAAGAAGAACUACCAUAACGAAACCCCUAGGAGAAAUCCUAGUUUGGAAAUUGAGAAACUGAGUAGUGGCUGCAAUGUAACCAACAGGUUGGAUGUUGGACUGAAUUUGUGA
rnacentral:rRNA from 1 species